AUCACCUACUGGAUAAAUAAAUCAUAAUAAUAAUAAUAAAAAGAUUAAUCAAGAUUUUUUGGAAUUAUCAAAAAAAUUUUAUUUUAGACUUUAAUUGCACAUACAAUUACAUUGACAAAAGGAUUGCAAGUUCAAUAAUAACCUUCACAGAAAACGUUUCCAUGGAUUUGACAAGACAGGAUCUUGAAACUAUUUUGACUGGCAAAAACCUGGACCAUCAACACUUUGUUUAAGGAAAUGGACAUCGAUUUUAGUAUAACAUAUAUUCUAAAUACUGUUUCAAAAUGAAAAAAAAAAAUCAAAAGUUGAUGAAACAUUAGAACAAAAUGCUUGUGAUGAUUAUUUAAAGAAACUACUUGAUAAGAUCAUGAAUUGGCCUGUGAAACGUUUUAAUUUGUGGACUUCUAUUCCAAAUAAAAUUAUCUUUGAAGCCAAAGAACAUAAAAAGAUUCUGUAGCUAGAAUGGUCACUUUACUGGGAGAUAAUGACAUUUAUUUUGCUGAUCCUUUUGGUAAUGUGCAAUACUAAUUAAUAUUUGCUGUAUAAAAAGAGAAAUGAAGCUUGAGAAUAAGCAAGAGUCAAAGGAGAGCAUGGACUGUGUAAUAAACAUGUCCUGUGAAGUAACAUAAUUGAUCUUAAAGUAAAAUUGAAUUUAUAAACAUAAAAAAACAUGAGAAAUACUAGGAAUAUUUUGACUAAUACGCUGUAUGUGUUUAACAUGUGUCUAUGUGUGAGUUAGACAGAAAAAGUUUGUUUUGAGGAAUUAUGCCAAGUAGAAAUCAGAAUUAAUUCAAGAAGGAAUAUUUUUUAUCAGUACAUACUGCAUUAAAAUUUAUUAUCAGAGAAAUAGCUCUCUGAUUUUUUGAUACUUUUAAUAAAGCUGCAAUGGUACAAAUGGUGGUCAAAUUCUGUAUGGUUGAUUGUCAACAUAUUUUUUCUAUGUGCCAUGACCUAUGUGUGUUUAUGAUGGAGUUGUGUUUUUGCCAGAUAUGUCGAAAUGAUUAAAAAUAAAUUUAAAAAAUCA